rnacentral:rRNA from 1 species
UACGAAGGGUGCAAGCGUUACUCGGAAUUACUGGGCGUAAAGCGUGCGUAGGUGGUUGUUUAAGUCCGUUGUGAAAGCCCUGGGCUCAACCUGGGAACUGCAGUGGAAACUGGACAACUAGAGUGUGGUAGAGGGUAGCGGAAUUCCCGGUGUAGCAGUGAAAUGCGUAGAGAUCGGGAGGAACACCCAUGGCGAAGGCAGGUCCCUGGGCCGACAUUGACACUGAGGCACGAAAGCGUGGGGAGCAAACAGG